CAUCUUGAGAUUGUUCUUUCUCAAAGUUGCCCAGUCAUAGUGGCACAUAGUAAUUCUUGGUGAGUUUAACGUGGGAGGUCACUCUUUAUGGUUAUGCUUCCAAAAUCUCUCGCUACAUCUGUUGGAUUAAAUCACUUUUCUUCUCAUUGUAUUGUGAAUAUAGUGGUUAUGUGCAAUUAAGUUACGUAAAACUAUUGUGGCUUGAAUUUGUUGCAUCUUUCCAAGUUUUGUCAAUGAUGAUUCUGUCUGCAAAAUGUAUGCUCUGUGGAUUCAAGCCCCUGUUUCAGGGAGAACCUCUUGAUGAAGCAGAUAUAAUAUGACAUCAAUUGACAAAUCUGAGACAUCUUGUAACAUUGUUUUGCUUAUUGCCUCGUUAUUUUAGUUGUUAAAUGUAUUGAGGUUUGUGACUUCUGAUUUUGCAACUAUCUUUAUUGCCUGAUACCUUAAACAUCAUUUUCUGAAGUUUUGACAAUGUUGAUUCUGUCUGCAAAAUGUAUGCUCUGUGGAUUCAAGCCCCUGUUUCAGGGAGAACCUCUUGAUGAAGCAGAUAUAAUAUGACAUCAAUUGACAAAUCUGAG
rnacentral:lncRNA from 1 species